CAAUAAGCGGAGGAAAAGAAACUACCAAGGAUUCCCCCAGUAACGGCGAGUGAAGAGGGAACAGCCCAAAUUUGUAAUCUGGCCCUUUUGGGGUCCGAGUUGUAAUCUCGAGAACUGUUUUCCGUGCCGGACCAUGUACAAGUCUGUUGGAAUAUAGCUUCAUAGAGGGUGAGAAUCCCGUACAUGACAUGGACCGCCGGUGCUUUGUGAUACAGUCUCUAAGAGUCGAGUUGUUUGGGAAUGCAGCUCAAAUUGGGUGGUAAAUUCCAUCUAAGGCUAAAUAUUGGCGAGAGACCGAUAGCGAACAAGUACCGUGAGGGAAAGAUGAAAAGCACUUUGGAAAGAGAGUUAACAGUACGUGAAAUUGUUAAAAGGGAAACGCUUGAAGUCAGCCUUGUUCUUGGUUGUUCAGCCUUAGGGCGUAUUCAACUUUGAGCAGGCCAGCAUCAGUUUUGGGUGCCGGAUAAGGGCUUAGGAAAUGUGGCAGCUUAGGCUGUGUUAUAGUCCUUUGCUUGAUACGGUGCCUGGGACUGAGGAACGCAGCGAGCCUUUUGGCGGGUCCCCUCGGGGGCCUUCUCGCUUUGGAUGCUGGC
rnacentral:rRNA from 1 species